rnacentral:rRNA from 1 species
UACGACUACAUAUCAGGCAUAUCAAUAAGCGGAGGAAAAGAAACUAACUAAGGAUUCCCUCAGUAACGGCGAGUGAAGCGGGAAGAGCUCAAAUUUGAAAUCUUCAAGGUUCUACCUUGACGAAUUGUAGUUUAAAGAAGUGUUUUCUGUUGAAGUUUUGGUAAAAGUUCUUUGGAAUAGGACAUCAUAGAGGGUGAGAAUCCCGUAUUUGACCAUUAUUUUCAGCUGUGUGAUUACACUUUCAAAGAGUCGGAUUGUUUGGGAAUGCAGUCCAAAAUGGGUGGUAAAUUUCAUCUAAAGCUAAAUAUUGGCGAGAGACCGAUAGCGAACAAGUACCGUGAGGGAAAGAUGAAAAGAACUUUGAAAAGAGAGUUAAACAGUACGUGAAAUUGUCAAAAGGGAAGCGUUUGACACCAGUGUUGUUUUCUCGAAAAUCAAUUAAAAAAGGGGGAUUUUGUGUUGUAUUGACCUUGUACAGCUUUCUGCACUCUUCUCCAGCUUUUUUUAAUGCACUUUUCGUUUAACAAGUCAACAUCAGUUUCUUUUGUUGUAAAAGGGUCAUUGGAAGGUGGCUUUCUCUUCGGAGAAAGUGUUUAUAGCCUUUGGCCUCUGCAAUCGGAGAGAUUGAGGUCUGCAGCGUAGAUCCUUCGGGGUUAGAUACAUUUGUGCUAAGCUACAGCUUUUCAUAGACAACUUGUUGACUAUGUUUAGUCUUGUGACUUACCCGCUUAUGCUAUUUUACCUACGCUUAGGAUGUUGAGCGCAUGUCUCUCUCU